CAACUGAAGAGUUUGAUCAUGGCUCAGAUUGAACGCUGGCGGCAGGCCUAACACAUGCAAGUCGAGCGGAAACGAUCCUAGCUUGCUAGGAGGCGUCGAGCGGCGGACGGGUGAGUAAUGCAUAGGAAUCUGCCCGGUAGUGGGGGAUAACUUGAGGAAACUCAAGCUAAUACCGCAUACGCCCUACGGGGGAAAGCAGGGGCUCUUCGGACCUUGCGCUAUCGGAUGAGCUUAUGUCGGAUUAGCUAGUUGGUGAGGUAAUGGCUCACCAAGGCGACGAUCCGUAGCUGGUCUGAGAGGAUGAUCAGCCACAUCGGGACUGAGACACGGCCCGAACUCCUACGGGAGGCAGCAGUGGGGAAUAUUGGACAAUGGGGGCAACCCUGAUCCAGCCAUGCCGCGUGUGUGAAGAAGGCCCUCGGGUUGUAAAGCACUUUCAGCGAGGAAGAAUGCUUGUCGGUUAAUACCCGGCAAGGGAGACAUCACUCGCAGAAGAAGCACCGGCUAACUCCGUGCCAGCAGCCGCGGUAAUACGGAGGGUGCGAGCGUUAAUCGGAAUUACUGGGCGUAAAGCGUGCGUAGGCGGCUUGGUAAGCCGGUUGUGAAAGCCCCGGGCUCAACCUGGGAACGGCAUCCGGAACUGUCAGGCUAGAGUGCAGGAGAGGAAGGUAGAAUUCCCGGUGUAGCGGUGAAAUGCGUAGAGAUCGGGAGGAAUACCAGUGGCGAAGGCGGCCUUCUGGACUGACACUGACGCUGAGGUACGAAAGCGUGGGUAGCAAACAGGAUUAGAUACCCUGGUAGUCCACGCCGUAAACGAUGUCGACUAGCCGUUGGGGUCCUCGAGACCUUUGUGGCGCAGUUAACGCACUAAGUCGACCGCCUGGGGAGUACGGCCGCAAGGUUAAAACUCAAAUGAAUUGACGGGGGCCCGCACAAGCGGUGGAGCAUGUGGUUUAAUUCGAUGCAACGCGAAGAACCUUACCUACCCUUGACAUCGUGCGAAC
rnacentral:rRNA from 1 species